CUGAGAUGGCGACUAAUUUUCAUACGUUAGGGGUUCUCGCUCACUUAGUCCCGUGGCAAAACGAAUACGAGGCCUCUGUGACCGACAUAACCGGCGACGGAUGCCUAUCGGCCCUACGAUAGCAUGAACGCCCCUCCGCACGCCCACAGCCCCACACCAUCGUAGGCCCUUAGAUAGAUCCGUGCCUUCCCUGCAUAAUUAGCACCUCCGUGCGAC
rnacentral:lncRNA from 1 species